rnacentral:misc_RNA from 1 species
CAAUGAGAACCGGUUCGCCAUGUCUGGGAUAAAACCCUCGUAGCGCGCUACCGUCAACCUCUACCCUUGUGUAUUAUUCAACUGUUGCUUUGGUGGGCCGCGAGCCUUAACGGUGAGCACCGGCUUCGGCUGGAGAGUGCUUGUCAGAGGACCCCAACUCUGUAGUAUUGAAGUCUGAGUACUAUUAAAUAGUUA